UCGACUGUCAAAUAUUCAACGGAUGUCUCACGCGCUGCGAAUGCGUAGCAUAUGUUUACAACCGCAUUCGCAGCGCGUGAGACGCUUGCGGGUUUACAGUUGUCUUUUUCAGUUGUUCAGUUGUUGUUUUCAGUUUACAUUUGUCUGCAUUGACAGUCGUCUAACUGCAAAAUGUCACGAAAUUAUAAACGAUAUUUGUCCGAUUUUUCUAUACCUGUGCCAAAAACUACAAGAUGGUACAGAAGUCAAUUGAGAACAGAGGAACGGCCAGCAAGUUCGACCGAGGAGAUUGAUUCAAGGCCUUCAUUUGAAGCUGAAUUCUCUGAUGACGGAGACCUUGAUGAUCAAAUGAAUACACAGUCUAUGAUUGACUCUUCAGAUGAAGCUGAAUUCCCCUGUGAUGAUCCACCAGACCAUGUUGAGCAAGUGUGUACACACACAAAACGCAAACACACCUAGUUGAAAUAGGGAGA